GGUAGGAAUGUGGGAGUGCUUCAUAAGACUCUCCAGCCCAAACUCCAAGGGGACCUUGCUGGUGCCCACUGGGAAGAUGCACACAGCCACUUAUGGGAGAUCCCACCCUAAGUCUAGAGGACUGUGACCCUGGGAACCCAGAAAAGCACAGCUGCCGCCAGGUUUCUGCAUCUCUAUCCUUUCUGGGCCUCCUUACUCACUGAGAUACAAUAAUAUUGAAAGUAUGCCAAUUGAUAACACUUUGAAUGUUCAAAUGGAAAGAAGAGUCUGUCAUCUCUUAUUUUAAAACAGAGGCUAGAAAUGAUUAAGUUUAGGAAAACAAGUUAAGAUAGACUGAAAGCUAAGUGUCUUGUGUCAAACAGGCAAAUUGUGAAUGCAAAGGAAACAUUUUUGAAGGAAAUGAAGUGUUGCUUCAAAGAACAUGCAUAUGAUAAGAGAGCAAAACAGUCCUAUUGCUGAUAUGGAGAGAGUUUCAGUGGUCUGGAUGGAAGAUCAAACAAGCCACAGCAUUCCCUUAACCAAAACAAGGCCCUAAUUCUAUUCCAUUCUAUGAAGGCUGAGAGAGGUGAGGAGCUGCAUAAGGAAACUCUGUAGCUAGAGGAGGCUGGGGCAAGAGGUCUAAGAGCAGAAGCCAUCUUCACAGUGGGAAAGUCCAAGCUGAAGCAGCAAGCGCUGAGAUAAUGGGUGCAGGUGCCUACACACACUGCAGAUCUUCAGUGUCGAGCUAACAGCCUUCUAGUGGAAGGAGAUGCCAGAGUCUCCAGGAAUGUCACACUACAGAGAAGUGCGUGACUGGCUGCAAGCUUCAAAGGACAGGCUGCCUCUCUUGUUAGGGG